GCUGGUGUUGCUCAGUGGUCAGAGCAUUGGCCUGUGCACCCAAAGGGUUGCAGGUUCGAUUUCUGGUCAAAGGCU
rnacentral:tRNA from 1 species